rnacentral:rRNA from 1 species
AUUGAACGCUGGCGGCAGGCCUAACACAUGCAAGUCGAGCGGAUGAAGGGAGCUUGCUCCUGGAUUCAGCGGCGGACGGGUGAGUAAUGCCUAGGAAUCUGCCUGGUCGUGGGGGAUAACGUCCGGAAACGGGCGCUAAUACCGCAUACGUCCUGAGGGUGAAAGUGGGGGAUCUUCGGACCUCACGCUAUCAGAUGAGCCUAGGUCGGAUUAGCUAGUUGGUGGGGUAAAGGCCUACCAAGGCGACGAUCCGUAACUGGUCUGAGAGGAUGAUCAGUCACACUGGAACUGAGACACGGUCCAGACUCCUACGGGAGGCAGCAGUGGGGAAUAUUGGACAAUGGGCGAAAGCCUGAUCCAGCCAUGCCGCGUGUGUGAAGAAGGUCUUCGGAUUGUAAAGCACUUUAAGUUGGGAGGAAGGGCAGUAAGUUAAUACCUUGCUGUUUUGACGUUACCAACAGAAUAAGCACCGGCUAACUUCGUG